rnacentral:rRNA from 1 species
CCCGCACAAGCAGCGGAGCGUGUGGUUUAAUUCGAGGCAACACGAAGAACCUUACCUGGGCUUGACAUGUUCGUGGUAGUGAAGCGAAAGCGGAUCGACCCUUCGGGGAGCGUUCACAGGUGCUGCAUGGCUGUCGUCAGCUCGUGCCGUGAGGUGUCCGGUUAAGUCCGGUAACGAGCGCAACCCUUGCUGUUAGUUACAAGUGUCUAACGGGACUGCCGGUUUAAUACCGGAGGAAGGUGGGAUGACGUCAAGUCAGCAUGGCCUCUAUGUCCAGGGCUACACACACGCUACAAUGGCCGGUACAGUGGGUUGCCAAACCGCGAGGUGGAGCUAAUCCUCAAAGCCGGUCUCAGUUCGGAUUGUAGGCUGCAACUCGCCUGCAUGAAGUCGGAGUUGCUAGUAACCGCGCGUCAGCUAUAGCGCGGUGAAUACGUUCCCGGGCCUU